AUGACCAUAUCACAUUGAAACUGGUUUUCAUCUGAUCACUGAAGUUAAGCAACAUUGAACCUGGUCAGUACCUCGAUAAGUGACCGCUCAGGAAUACCAAGUGCCGUAAG